GGCUGCCGACAAGGUGAUCCCCUUUCACCUUAUCUUUUCAUCCUUUGUGCUGAGAUUCUUGCACUAAAGAUAAGAGGAAAUAAGGAAAUUAGUGGUAUUGAAGUAACUCAAGUUGAGCAUAAGUUGUCACAGUUUGCCGAUGACACUUCAUUGAUUUUAGAUGGUAGUGAAAAAUCUUUAUAUGAAUCCUUAUCUGAAUUGGAAUGGUUUGCAAAAAUAUCUGGUUUA
rnacentral:lncRNA from 1 species